CCCUGUAUCGAAAGGUGUCCCGGCGUCCUUGUCGCCGCGGUCAUUAUUAAUACAGGAAGAAGAACCUGAGAGCUUUCCCGUGUUUGGAGGACCGUCGGUUCCUCUCAGACCCUGACGCUCUCAGACA
rnacentral:snoRNA from 1 species